CUGUAAAAAGAAAACAAUGCUAGCACAAAAUAAAUAAUAAGACCAGAAGUCUCACUCGAUGUCGGAAUCUUUGAUGUUGAUGUCCCCGCGCAUGUCGCCUCGCGCAUCUUGGCCGUGUCUCGUUUCCAGUGCCCUAAACAAGUGUAAUUUGACAAAUUUACAUGUAAACAUUAAGGAGUGAGGAAGUUAAAACGAUACCAAUCGAGUUUUAGAGCUUUGGUGACCAUUUUAAAAGAAUAUAUCAUAAAUUCAAAGGUAAGUCUAUCGUACUGCAUUGUCUUAAAUGAAUUCUCAGCUGAAAUACGGCAAUAAAUGGAUCAUAAACGUAGCUAAAUUUACUGUUGACAACGAGGUUGACAGAUCCAUUGCUUUUUUGCCUUGAAUAGCUUUACCAUAGUCAUUUUACCUUAAAAUGUAGCUACUGAGGAUAUCUCUAAGAGAUUUACACAGAUUAUUUGCACAAUCUCACGAUUUAAUCAUGCUGAUAACAUGAAAAUCCUUGUGCCAUUCUAUACUUGGCAUAUAAAUCUCUACAUCAAUAGUUCACCAGUUCACUAAUAUAAAUUCAAUAUAUUUUUGAACCAGUCCAUAUAUUAUUAUACACAAUGUAGUAUAGUUAAUUUGACCAUAUUUGAGAAGUAAGGGUGUAUUUCAUUACACAGACACUGCUGAAUUUUAGGUUACAUGCCAUUGGAUUGAUAUAUAAAAAAACACUUGUAAAACACACACAUUAUUUUUAUCUUGUUGAUAGAAUAGUUAUUUGCAGUAUACUAACUGUUGGCAUACUCUAUUUCAGGACUAUCAAUUGUUUUUGUCACUGACAGUCUUUGAAAUACAAUCUUGCUCUGUGGCCUUUACUGACAAGUUGGCUUUUACUACAUAUGUGGCACUGACACUUCUUUAAUUAAUGCACCAGUCAACGUAAACCCCCGAACUGGGGAAGGGCAGGGAUUUUGACUUGGAGGGGUAGUAAAAGAGCGAAAUUGGCCCCGCCCCCAGGGACAUCAAUGUCCCCUGCAUGUCUCUCAACCCCAGGAAAAUAGUUUUGUAUAAUCAUAGAUCAGCAAUAGAAAAUCAAAUUCAUUUAUGUUAUUGUAUUUAAACUUUUCUUGUCAAGAAAACUAAAACAGCAACACAGGAUAUAUAUGUUAACCACUGUCCAAGUCUCCCAUCAUCGGGGACAAAUUUAUAAUCAAAACUGACCACUUUCCCCGAUAAACCUUCCGCCCUCCCCGGUUGGGGGCAGGGAUUUACAUUGACUGGUGCAUAACUAGAUGAUUGCAUAAAGCAUUGCAUGGAAGUUGAUUUAUAAUUAGUUUAUGAAUAAACUCACACUUUCAUUAUAAUGGUUGAUCGAAUAUAUCAAAUCAUUUGAUUGGUUGAUGGUCCCUUACUGUCGUUCCAAUUGAAGUGUUCCUCAAAUAUUGAUUCAAUACAUUACCUCGGGCUGACCAAUUCAUUUCAUCAAGUUCCUCGAGAUAUUCAUACACUUCCUGUGAAAGAGCCAAUUCCAAUGUCAAAAAUUUUUUUCGGAAAUAACUUUUUUUAAACAAAAUAUUGCAAAUUUGUCCCCUUAUACCUAAAUUUUCAAAAAAUAACCUAAAUUUUUCCCUAAUUAUCAAAAUUUUUUCCAAAAAUUCAAAUUUUCUGGGGGGGCUUUAGCCCCCCUAGCCCCCCUGUUCCGCCGCCCCUGUUCCUUUCUAUUUAUGAUUGGUUAGUUGCACAAACAACAAAGGUGAUUGGUGCAUUCAAACUAUUCAACAGGAAGUUUACAAUUAUACUAGGAAGUGUAUGAAUAUUUCGAGGAACUUGAUGAAAUGAAUUGGUCAGCCCGAGGUAAUGUAUUGAAUCAAUAUUUGAGGAACACUUCAAUUGGAACGACAGUAAUGGUAAUGGUAGUCAAAUCUGAACCUAUAUAAUGUCAAUAUACUGGAAAAGUAUCAAAUUAAAUUUUAAUUGUCAAUGUUGUGGAAAGUAAAUAAAUCAAACAAUUCUGUUUGUUUCAACUAACUAGUUCACUAUCACUUUGGUUUUCAAAUCAAAGAAUCUUUAGCCUGGUUGAGCUUUUGAAAAAGUAGCUGCUUGAUUGAAUGCAAGAUUAUUUUACUCCGUCUAACGCCAGACAAUUUCACUCGUCAAGGGGAAAAGUGCUGCCACUCAGU
rnacentral:lncRNA from 1 species